GCUGCCCCUAGAGACUUGGCAGGUGUGGCUCCUGUGUCACAUGUGUGUCAGUAGGUGGCAGAGAAGAAGGAGGCUAUGUCUAUGCUCAGCGUUCUGAUUAUUGAACAUCUGAAUGAUUAGCAGCCUAACAAU